AUACGAAGGGGGCUAGCGUUGUUCGGAUUUACUGGGCGUAAAGCGCACGUAGGCGGAUUGAUAAGUUAGGGGUGAAAUCCCGAGGCUCAACCUCGGAACUGCCUCUAAUACUGUCAAUCUCGAGACCGGAAGAGGUGAGUGGAACUCCUAGUGUAGAGGUGGAAUUCGUAGAUAUUAGGAAGAACACCAGUGGCGAAGGCGGCUCACUGGUCCGGUACUGACGCUGAGGUGCGAAAGCGUGGGGAGCGAACAGGAUUAGAUACCCUUGUAGUCC
rnacentral:rRNA from 1 species